UGCUCUUGCUCCCCACCUGCUUCUCUUCCUCUCACCUGAGGAUUGCUGUCAGCUCCGGCGUCCAGCCUCCUGGCUUCCAGAGCCAUUUCUGCACCCACCAGCCACCCUUCCCCUUGCUGCUGCCAUGCCCUACCCUUUGGGGAAAGGCCUCUGGACUUGCUUCCUGCCCUGGCUGUGAGCUGCCUGCAGUUGGGGCCUUUGGCACUGCAGGCUUGGUCCCGUUUGCUGAACGAGCAGACGCAGGCAGAGGAGGGACCCAAGGAUGUUCCCUCUGCACCUCAGGAUCCUUCUGGAAACCAUCAGGACCCUGGACAAGGAGAUAAUGAAGAUUUUCUGCAGCAACAGAAAUGAAACCUGGAACAAAUCUAUUUUUACCACUUCGAGUGUGGGCUCCCCUGACCCGUGAUCGCAGUGCCCUGCUCAUUCCACCUCUCCACUCCUGCCUACUGCUUUGACUUGAAGACAAAGAAGCUGUGGCAUCACUGAGCGACGGGCUGGCUCAGGAACCCGCUCUAGCUUGUAGCUGGUUUCAGUGGAACGUGAGUCCAUGAGAGGACUUUGGUGAGCUCACACGAUUCCUGGGAAGGUCAGAGACUGUGAUUGCAGGCCACGCACCCAGGACCACACCCAGACCCCCAGCUGCUUGCUCGGCCGUGCCCACCGUCCCAGCUGUCAUGGGUCACACAUCCUGCAACCAGGACACACACACGUGGUGUGGCCCCCCAAAUCCAGUGUGAGGUGGGGACCUAGGACCGAGGUUAGGAGUGCGCAGAGCCUUGGACCAAGAAGGUGCUCAGAUGGCCUCUGCCUGGUAACCUCUGGUCCAUUCUCACCACCGUUGCUGAGACCUGCCGUGUGCCAGAGGAUGGGAGCCCCGGGGCGGGGAGGCAGUGGGCUCGUGCGAGAGAUGGGCCAAACCAAGAGCACAGAGACAUCACAGUAAUCUUUCUGGAAGGGAAACAAAAAGAGGUAGUGGUGGGCAUGUUGGGGGCUUUUCUCCAAAUGGGGUUCCAGACGCCUCCCUGGGAUGGCACCAUGUAAGUUCACCUACAGCUGGUGUGUCGGCCCCCUUCUGCCGUCAGGCCACAGCCGUGUGUGCGGGCUCGGCCAUCGGCGUUGCCAGGAUCGAGGCCCGCGUGUGUGGCUCAAGUCAUGGCAGUCCUUGGAUUAGGACCCGACUGCCAGUCGGGACAGAUGUGUGGUGGUUUGGGGGCCCUGUAAUCUCAGGAGCAGCAGGAACCUGGGCAGAUUGACCUCCUUACCCCUGGCUUUCUCCUCAGUUAGGGGGGCUGGUAAAAGGUCUGUCCACUGGGCUGGGGAUAAUGCAUGUGACGUGCGGCCAACAGGGUCAGGCACACGACAAGGCUCGCAGGGCACACGGGAAGCGCUCGGCCCAUACGGUGGAGUCACCGCGCUUGCUGGCAGCUACUGUGUGGGGUAGCUGGGAUUUGAACCCCAGUCUACCUGACUCCAAGUCCACCCCCUGCCGGGUUGUAGGGCAGCUCUGAGCUGGGGCAGCCGGGGGCCUGGGGUCUGCCUCCCUCCGGGGUUUCUGCCCCCGCACACCGAGUGGCGCCCGGCGGAGCCUCCGCUGCAUCCGUGUCUACCGUGAGACAAAGGAUGUGCUUGGUGUUUCCCCAGAGCCUUCUUGGAAAUCAUGCUUGAAGGAGGCGAUUCCUUGCAAAUCCAGCAGCCACUACCGAGAGCAGCGAGAGCAGCGAGAACUCGGUUUUCGGGAAUGUCAGAACCGCCCACCAAUCCAUUUUUAUUUGCUUCCUGUUCAUUGUGCAUUUUCCUCUAUCUCCAUAAUCUUUUUUCCCCCAUGUGACAAGAUUUUCAUCGGGCUCUCUAUUUAACACACCGCUGCUGCUUGCAGAAACCGUCGGCUAUUGUUACUCUGAGUGCGGAUUCAUUAGCCUUUGCUGGAGAGGGCUGCGCGCUGCAGCUUCUGUGCGUCCUUUGUAGGCUUUAGAUGAAUUCCUGCUGUGGUCAUGUUCAUUGGGAUAAUUUUAUCAAGAUUUCCUUUCUCUUGCUUUAUUACUUGCUUUCUUGGUUACUUUAUUAAAUUUUAAAAUAUCUUAUUAAAGCCACUUCUUUUCUCCUGACAAAAGUAUAACUUUUCCAACUUGGCUGGAUAAAACUUGCAGACCAGACGCUUCCUGGGGCCUCCUGGAGAGUGGCAGGGGGGCUGGGCUCCUGGGUCGGAGAAGGCUCUUAUCUUUGGCUCUAGACCUUUCUGUGUGGCUUUCAUGGUUUAUAAUCACAGACUAUUUCAUUCCAUUGUUUCAAGCAGUGAAAGAAGACUUCUGGACCUGGUAACGCUAAAUUUUUUUUCCUCAUCACCAUUUCUUAUUUUUUUUAUCACCUUUCUUAAAAGCAGUCGACAGAUGUAGUAAUGUAACAAGUUUUUUUGUGAAAUAAACCUUUUAAAACCCCACAUUAAAAAACUGACUAAUGGCAACCCCUCCAGUGAAAAUACUGUGGCUACCAAAGCUAUGUGGAAUCUGCUUUAAUAGAGGAAUAUGUUUAAAUAGAGAUUUUUGAAGGCCACUUGGCCUCACUGCAGUUUACAGCCCAAAUGGGAAUUUUACUGGUCUCUGUUGGAUUAUCCAAAGGUGCAGAGAUACAGCUGCCAGCUCCCAUAUUCACACGGCAGAGCGAGACUUAAUGCAAGCAAAUGACUUCCAUGUUGGCCAUCACCGAAAACCAUAUGGAAGGACAAUUUAUGAAAACUUGAGAGGCUUUUUGUGACUUAAAUGGGGGGAGUGGCCUUUUGGAAAAGGACUAACAGAGCAAACCUGAGUAUUUGGUCUUCACUGUGAGUUAAUUUCUCACCUGGGCAGGAGUCUACAUCUUGCAGGUGGGCAGGGAAGUUUGCUUUCUGGCCUUGGGAGGCAGGACCCCAUGGCCAUUCGCAAAGCUGGGCUUGGAGAGCAGCGCCUGGAGCAGGAGGAGGAGCCUUCUUGCGCUGCACGUGCCUCCCCACCCCCCAAUCUCCCAGGUCCUUGCCUCUCCUGCUCCUCCAAAGAGAAGUGCAUUCUUAAGCAACAACAGCCAAAACGCUGCAUGUCCUCUCCCUCCUCUCCGCCCCCUACUUCCCCACUCACAUAUCAGAUGUGUUUCUUAGAUACGAAUCUAAAAUUAAUGCUCUCGAGCUUGGUUCCUCAGGGGAAAAGUGGGAUAAUCAGCAAAUGUCAAAAUGUUUUCUCCAAAUUUCUAAAUGAGUGGAAAAUAAAACAAUAUGACCCCCCUCAGGAAUUACCUGGCCACUGUUUUUCUAUAGACGUGACGAGUCUAUUUGCUGCUCCCCAGAGUGGACCCAGUCGGGAAUAUUCUAUGCUGCAGGUCCCGGAGCUCCGAGGGAGAAGAGGGAGUCCUGAGUGCUGGGAUGGUGGCCUCAGAUUCCAGGCAGGUCUCUCAGCCAGGGUCUGGCCAAGUCUGGGGGAGGCCCGGCCACACACCCAGAACUGGGUGUCUCUGGGUAGCGACGGUUAACCUCUGGAACCUACUAUAACUAGAAAUCUUUAUCGGAAUUACCCAAGCCAUUACCCGCUCACUGUAUUAGCUCUGCCCUCGAGCGCUCUUGACUGCGUAUCAUGGGGAUGGAGUGCUUUGUCAAUUGGAACUCAAGCCUCCCGAUCUUAAUUAGAGAUGUGCCAAAGUACCUGAAUUUAAUGGAGAAGGUUGGAAGACAGUUCUCUCUCCACCCCUCUUGCAUUUAAUGACUUCAUUACUGAUUACUGUCCACAGCCAUGCAGAAAUUAAGUAUGCUCUGCAGAAAAGCACAAAGGUUGACAUGCAACUGCUCCUGCAUGGCAAGUUCCAUGUAUAGCUCUGCACCAUCUGCAAAAUGGGGAGC